UACGUAGGGUGCAAGCGUUAAUCGGAAUUAUUGGGCGUAAAGAGCUCGUAGGCGGUUUGUCGCGUCUGCUGUGAAAGCCCUGGGCUCAACCUGGGAACUGCAGUGGAUACUGGCGGACUAGAGUGUGAUAGAGGAUGGUGGAAUUCCCGGUGUAGCGGUGAAAUGCGUUAGAGAUCGGGAGGAACACCAGUGGCGAAGGCGGCCAUCUGGAUCAACACUGACGCUGAGGCACGAAAGCGUGGGGAGCAAACAGG
rnacentral:rRNA from 1 species